CCAGCAAAACCACAUUUGUGACAGUCAGUACAGCGUAAACUCCGAAGAAGAAGAUCAACUAAAAACCGAAAAUACAGAUUUAGACGCAUUACAGUAUGGUCUAGCUUUAUCGUGAGAGCAUCAUUCACCUGCCCGUUAGAGGUGACGCGGGACCAGAGCUGCAGAGAAGACGGGGGCGCUUCGUGGUGUCGUAGCAAAUAAUAAUACUCAAUAGCCGGUUCUACGUUUUGAAAGAAUGCUAGAAGGAAAGCCACCAAGACCGCAGUCACGGCAAAUUGAGGUUUCAUGCGUUUGUGUACCCAUAGCGGUCUGAUUAUGGCAACCAUGCGCUCACCCGAGCUGUGGAUUUUGACCACACUGUCGAUUAACAUUACCUACCAAUCAACCGAGUUGAUCAAAGUGUUGCCAAUACAUGUUAUUGCACCGAAGGAAUCCAAUAAAGAGUUGGCCAGCGAACUGUUAGCGUGACGGGCGUCCUGAGAACUGUUGUAAUCCAUAAUUCUGAUUGGAAGCUGGAUCCACCUGAAAAUGAAUGGUUUAAUCAUUUCGCUCUUAUCAAAUCUGUCAGCCAUUUUGAUUGGAUUUUCCUGGUUUCGAUUCUGUCGCAUUACGUAUACGAGGAUCAACGGCCGAAAGUGCUGCAUAUUGUAACAAUACGUGCA